AAAAAAGAAAGAAAGAAGGAAAGAAAGCAAGCAGGAACAGUGAGAAAAGAGGAAGGAGAGGAGGAUGUCCAGGUGAGCCACCCAGUCACACAGCCAGCCACCGAGUAAGAAGGGAAGCAAGAUACAGAGAAUAAACAGGCGGAAUCUCCAGUGUCCCAGGCUUGCUCACACUCGCUGUAUGUAACCCAGAUGACCUUGGAGCCCUGAUCCUGUGGCUUCUGUUUCCUCAGUAUUGGGGUCACAAGCAUGUGACACUACAGCCCCAGUGUGGAGUUCAGAGGGCGACUGUCAGGAAAUAAGUACUGACAAGACUUUAAUGUUGAUUCUUCUCGUCUAUGCCGUUAACAAAUCCUGAGCUAACACUCUUCAAUCCAAUGUACCCACUGGGAAUUCAGCAAUGAACUUGACUGGCAAAAAUUCUUCCUUAGGUGUCAAAUAAAUAACUUAGCUAAAUAAAUAACUGAAACAUA